UUUGAAACAGACCGCAAUGGAGAGAUCAGCGCCCAGGGAAGGGAGGGAACAGCAGGCUCCUUCCAGCAGCACAUCGGGAUGGGAGCCUGGGACACAGGGGGGGCUCCGAGACCGGGAUUGAUUCGGGGCAAAUAUUUGAUGGAUCAAUCCAAGUGUGACCAGCUGCUUCUUUCAACCAGCAGGAGCAAUUGAAUUUGAUAAAAUGGAAUACCAUGAAUAAACAACAUUCAAGCUGUCCUGAGAGAGAAGCUAGCCUGAGAGAAACCCGAGGGUGUACAGCAAAUAACUUUGGAAUGUGAAUGAAUAGGAUGCAUAGAAAAACUGCAAGGCAUAGAGAUUACACUGUCUUCUAAACUCUGAAAGGUAAGGGGAUCCCUCUGAGAGGUAAGGGGAUCCUGGAGCUGUCCAUGGAAACGCCCAUCAUUGAUUAGGUGCGUCAUUGAAUACAGUAUGCAAACUGAGAGAGAAGAACAUCAUAAUCAAGUUGUAUGUGAUUGUUAUCAGAAAAUUUAUAAACAAUAUUGCUUUUUAUUGUAAAAUCAGAGUGCGUCAUGAACUUCUCUUCUGAGGCCAGUCUCGGGAGAAGAUCAUUUGGCCCUCUCCCUGCACUAACCUGUUUCUGCUUGAAUAAACACCUACCAC